AGCGAACGCUGGCGGCAGGCUUAACACAUGCAAGUCGAGCGGGCAUCUUCGGGUGUCAGCGGCGGACGGGUGAGUAACGCGGGGGAACGUGCCUUCUGGUUCGGAAUAACUCAGGGAAACUUGCGCUAAUACCGGAUACGCCCUUUUGGGGAAAGGUUUACUGCCGGAAGAUCGGCCCGCGUCUGAUUAGCCAGUUGGUGGGGUAACGGCCUAACAAGGCGACGAUCAGUAGCUGGUCUGAGAGGAUGAUCAGCCACACUGGGACUGAGACACGGCCCAGACUCCUACGGGAGGCAGCAGUGGGGAAUAUUGGACAAUGGGGGCAACCCUGAUCCAGCCAUGCCGCGUGAGUGAUGAAGGCCUUAGGGUUGUAAAGCUCUUUUAUCCGGGACGAUAAUGACGGUACCGGAGGAAUAAGCCCCGGCUAACUUCGUGCCAGCCGCCGCCGUAA
rnacentral:rRNA from 1 species